GCGUUGUUCGGAAUUACUGGGCGUAAAGGGCUCGUAGGCGGCCACCUAAGUCAGACGUGAAAUCCCUCGGCUUAACCGGGGAACUGCGUCUGAUACUGGAUGGCUUGAGUUUGGGAGAGGGAUGCGGAAUUCCAGGUGUAGCGGUGAAAUGCGUAGAUAUCUGGAGGAACACCGGUGGCGAAGGCGGCAUCCUGGACCAACACUGACGCUGAGGAGCGAAAGCCAGGGGAGCAAACGGG
rnacentral:rRNA from 1 species